rfam:Calypte anna contig31890, whole genome shotgun sequence.
AUGCCAGUUCAGUGUAUCUGCUUAACUUUACAGUGUUUUGCAGAGCAUGUUUUAAAAUGACACUGGUAAAGAAAAGCCACAGUACGAGCCUUAAAGACUUUGUAGUCUUUGAGGUCCCAAGAGAUGGCUACAUCU